UACGGGGGGGGUAAGCGUUGUUCGGAAUUACUGGGCGUAAAGGGCUCGUAGGCGGCCAACUAAGUCAGACGUGAAAUCCCUCAGCUUAACUGGGGAACUGCGUCUGAUACUGGAUGGUUUGGAUUUGGGAGAGGGAUGCGGAAUUCCUGGUGUAGCGGUGAAAUGCGCAGAUAUCAGGAGGAACACCUGUGGUGUAGACGGCUUUCUGGACCAUAGCUGACGCUGAGACACGAAAGCGUGGGUAGCAAACAGG
rnacentral:rRNA from 1 species